AGUUGGCUGGAGAGUCAAUGAAGAAGAUUGUGAAGAUGUUGAUGGCUGCAGCAGUGUCUGUGGUGCCUGCUUUCUUUGUCAAUUUGCCAUUGAUGUUGAUGAAGCAGGGGGAGAGGGUGCUCCAGAUGAUGAAGAAGUGGGAGAAGAAGAUGAGAGGAAAUGUCUUUCUUCAUUGAAUGUGCUGAAGGAUGAGUAGGUUGAUGAAAGAGAAGAGAUGUGAGAAGACAAAUGUGUUGUGAGAUAGACAUUUGUCUAUACCUCUGCACCCAAAAUGGGUGUCUGUAAUAUACAAGUACCAGAAGGAGUAUUGGGUGAGGAUGGCAGAGAGAAGAAAUGAGAGAGAUGAUGAAAGAAAGAAGAGAAAGUGAGAGAUGAAGAAUGAGAUGA
rnacentral:sRNA from 1 species